CCUACGGGUGGCAGCAGUAGGGAAUCUUUCACAAUGGGCGAAAGCCUGAUGGAGCAACGCCGCGUGCAGGAUGAAGGCCUUCGGGUUGUAAACUGCUUUUAUAAGCGAGAAAUAUGAUGGUAACUUAUGAAUAAGGAUCGGCUAACUACGUGCCAGCAGCCGCGGUCAUACGUAGGAUCCGAGCAUUAUCCGGAGUGACUGGGUGUAAAGAGUUGCGUAGGUGGCAUAAUAAGUAGCUAGUGAAAUCUGGUGGCUCAACCAUUCAGACUAUUGGCUAAACUGUUAAGCUCGAGACCGUUAGGGGUAACUGGAAUUUCUAGUGUAGGAGUGAAAUCCGUAGAUAUUAGGAGGAACACCGAUAGCGUAGGCAGGUUGCUGGGACGGUUCUGACACUAAGGCACGAAAGCGUAGGGAGCAAACGGGAUUAGAUACCCGAGUAGUC
rnacentral:rRNA from 1 species